CCAUGGCGAACGGGUGAGUAACACGUGAGCAAUCUGCCCCUGACUCUGGGAUAAGCGCUGGAAACGGCGUCUAAUACCGGAUACGAGCUGCGAAGGCAUCUUCAGCAGUUGGAAAGAAUUUCGGUCAGGGAUGAGCUCGCGGCCUAUCAGCUUGUUGGUGAGGUAAUGGCUCACCAAGGCGUCGACGGGUAGCCGGCCUGAGAGGGUGACCGGCCACACUGGGACUGAGACACGGCCCAGACUCCUACGGGAGGCAGCAGUGGGGAAUAUUGCACAAUGGGCGGAAGCCUGAUGCAGCAACGCCGCGUGAGGGAUGACGGCCUUCGGGUUGUAAACCUCUUUUAGCAGGGAAGAAGCGAAAGUGACGGUACCUGCAGAAAAAGCGCCGGCUAACUACGUGCCAGCAGCCGCGGUAAUACGUAGGGCGCAAGCGUUAUCCGGAAUUAUUGGGCGUAAAGAGCUCGUAGGCGGUCUGUCGCGUCUGCUGUGAAAUCCCGAGGCUCAACCUCGGGUCUGCACUGGGUACGGGCAGACUAGAGUGCGGUAGGGGAGAUUGGAAUUCCUGGUGUAGCGGUGGAAUGCGCAGAUAUCAGGAGGAACACCGAUGGCGAAGGCAGAUCUCUGGGCCGUAACUGACGCUGAGGAGCGAAAGGGUGGGGAGCAAACAGGCUUAGAUACCCUGGUAGUCCACCCCGUAAACGUUGGGAACUAGUUGUGGGGUCCAUUCCACGGAUUCCGUGACGCAGCUAACGCAUUAAGUUCCCCGCCUGGGGAGUACGGCCGCAAGGCUAAAACUCAAAGGAAUUGACGGGGACCCGCACAAGCGGCGGAGCAUGCGGAUUAAUUCGAUGCAACGCGAAGAACCUUACCA
rnacentral:rRNA from 1 species